UGCAAGUCGAGCGAAUCAUUGGGAGCUUGCUCCCUUUGGUUAGCGGCGGACGGGUGAGUAACACGUGGGCAACCUGCCUGUAAGACUGGGAUAACUUCGGGAAACCGGAGCUAAUACCGGAUAACUCAUGAGACCACAUGGUCUUGUGUUAAAAGAUGGCUUCGGCUAUCACUUACAGAUGGGCCCGCGGCGCAUUAGCUAGUUGGUGAGGUAACGGCUCACCAAGGCGACGAUGCGUAGCCGACCUGAGAGGGUGAUCGGCCACACUGGGACUGAGACACGGCCCAGACUCCUACGGGAGGCAGCAGUAGGGAAUCUUCCGCAAUGGACGAAAGUCUGACGGAGCAACGCCGCGUGAGCGAUGAAGGCCUUCGGGUCGUAAAGCUCUGUUGUUAGGGAAGAACAAGUAUCGUUCGAAUAGGGCGGUACCUUGACGGUACCUAACCAGAAAGCCACGGCUAACUACGUGCCAGCAGCCGCGGUAAUACGUAGGUGGCAAGCGUUGUCCGGAAUUAUUGGGCGUAAAGCGCGCGCAGGCGGUCCUUUAAGUCUGAUGUGAAAGCCCACGGCUCAACCGUGGAGGGUCAUUGGAAACUGGGGGACUUGAGUGCAGAAGAGGAGAGCGGAAUUCCACGUGUAGCGGUGAAAUGCGUAGAGAUGUGGAGGAACACCAGUGGCGAAGGCGGCUCUCUGGUCUGUAACUGACGCUGAGGCGCGAAAGCGUG
rnacentral:rRNA from 1 species